UCUAAUUCUUUCCACAAGACACACGAUGG
rnacentral:piRNA from 1 species